GACGAACGCUGGCGGCGUGCUUAACACAUGCAAGUCGAACGGUGAAGCGCCUUCCUUUUUGGUGGGUGUGGAUGAGUGGCGAACGGGUGAGUAACACGUGAGUAACCUGCCCCCUUCUUCUGGAUAACCGCAUGAAAGUGUGGCUAAUACGGGAUAUUCUGGGUCUGUCGCAUGAUGGGUCUGGGAAAGAUAUUGUUUCGGUGGGGGAUGGGCUCGCGGCCUAUCAGCUUGUUGGUGGGGUGAUGGCCUACCAAGGCGGUGACGGGUAGCCGGCCUGAGAGGGUGGACGGUCACACUGGGACUGAGACACGGCCCAGACUCCUACGUGAGGCAGCAGUGGGGAAUAUUGCACAAUGGGCGCAAGCCUGAUGCAGCGACGCCGCGUGAGGGAUGGAGGCCUUCGGGUUGUGAACCUCUUUCGCCAGUGAAGCAGGCCUGCCUCGUUUGUGGGUGGGUUGACGGUAGCUGGAUAAGAAGCGCCGGCUAACUACGUG
rnacentral:rRNA from 1 species